GUGAGGGCAAUCUGGCUGUAACAUCUGUCACAACACUGAUGAGCUGGGCCAGUGUGGUUGAUAGGGUUGUCUAGGCAGUGUCUCCUUCCUCACUUGCUGUAGCUGUGUUUCCUUUCUGAAGCUGCAAGCUCUUUCCCGGGAGAGAAGGGCCCUUCCUUGGACAAGGAUACAUGAGCAGCCACAUACCUCUGUAGAACUUCCUGGCAAGCUUUCAAGAAUGGCAAAUAAAUACCAUAUACUCGACUCAUCAUGUAAUUUUUAAAAUUUUUAUUA
rnacentral:snRNA from 1 species